rnacentral:tRNA from 1 species
GCUUGGUUGGUGUAGUGGUAAGCACAUCUGUCUCACAAGGAGUCAGGGGCCUGCGGGAAAAAAAGAUGCAAGAGCAUCUUCGCGGGAACCUAGAUGUUCUUUGAUCACAGGGGAUCGUGAGUUCGAACCUCACACUGAGCA